AGAGUUUGAUCCUGGCUCAGAACGAACGCUGGCGGCGUGCCUAACACAUGCAAGUCGAACGAGAAAGUCCCCGCAAGGGGAUAAGUAAAGUGGCGAACGGGUGAGUAACGCGUAGGUAAUCUGUCCCUCAGCUCGGGAUAACCCCGCGAAAGUGGGGCUAAUACCGGAUGAUAUCCUGAAAGCGCAUGCUUGUGGGAUCAAAGAUGGCCUCUGAUUCAAGCUGUCACUGAAGGAUGAGCCUGCGUCUGAUUAGCUUGUUGGUGAGGUAAAGGCCCACCAAGGCGAUGAUCAGUAGCCGACCUGAGAGGGUGAUCGGCCACACUGGAACUGAGACACGGUCCAGACUCCUACGGGAGGCAGCAGUGGGGAAUAUUGCGCAAUGGGCGAAAGCUUGACGCAGCAACGCCGCGUGGGUGAGGAAGGCCUUCGGGUUGUAGAGCCCUGUCAGGUGGAACGAAUCUGAUCCCGAGCGAAUACCUCGGGAAAAUGACGGUACCACCAGAGGAAGCCCCGGCAAACUACGUGCCAGCAGCCGCGGUAAUACGUAGGGGGCGAGCGUUGUUCGGAAUUACUGGGCGUAAAGAGCGCGUAGGCGGUCAAAUAAGUCAGGCGUGAAAUCCCUCGGCUUAACUGAGGUUUGGCGCUUGAAACUAUCUGACUUGAGUUUAGGAGAGGAGGGUGGAAUUCCCAGUGUAGCGGUGAAAUGCGUAGAUAUUGGGAGGAACACCUGUGGCGAAGGCGGCCCUCUGGACUAAUACUGACGCUGAGGCGCGAAAGCUAGGGGAGCAAACGGGAUUAGA
rnacentral:rRNA from 1 species